AUGCACCUCGCCUGUCUCAGCCUCACCGUCUUCCUGGGACAGCUCCUGGGCAUCACGGGGCAGGUCACAGUCACCCAGGAAGAUGGACCAGUCAUGGUGAAGCAGGGACACCCCUUCCAGACCACCUGCAAAUACCAGACCAGUUAUUUUAAUGCCUUGCUCUGGUACCAGCUGCAGAAAGGCCAAGCCCCACAGCUGGUCUCCUAUCAAGCAGGGCCUGGCUCCAAGCGCAAUGGCCGUAUCACCACGCACCUGAACACCACGGGGAAAUCCAGUGUCCUGCGGGUGGAGGAAGUGCAGGGCUCUGACACUGCCUUAUGUGUGCAGGGUGGAUCUGUUUUCGAUUCCGUGUCGGUGGUGUGCGGGAUGGGACACGGCUGUCUCUUGGCUCUGGCGAUGCCGGAAUUGUUGUGUCUCUGA